UUAAAAAACUCUUCAUUCUUAACACAUGAGUGAACGUGUAGUCUCAUUCUUAACACUUCACUCAUUUCUCGAUAAACAAUAUUUUUUUUCCUAUAGCCUAACCUCCUUCCGUCGCCGCUCCAAACAUUCUCUCCCCAACUUCAGCCGAUAACAAAGCUUUAGAGGAUGCUAUCGCUGCCAUUGACAAAAUUGCAAUGCCAAUUGAUGUUCAAGAUCAGGAGAAACCUAACAUAGAUUGUCCAUUUUUUGUGCGGAGGAGAAACCUAACAUAGAUUGUCCAAAUAAUUUUUGAGUUGGGGAAGUAAUGUUGUGAUUCUGUCUGCUUCACUAACUCCUAGUAGUCUUGAGUAAUUUGUAAGAAUAGUACACCAAUGAUUCAUUGGAUUUAUUGACAUAUGAUUCAAAUGCUAUUGACGAAUUAAAAUGUAGGAGGUCAGAUGCUAGGGCUUGUCAAAAGCCGCGUAGGCACCAAAUUCACAAGUCAAUUUGGGGAUUUAAUUGCUGCGAGUAUAUUUCUCUUGGCUAGAUUUCCAAAUGAUGUUCUUCGUUGCUCUUUUAUAUUUUCAAAUAUUUUGGUUUUUGACAUCUAGAUCAGUGUUCAAGUUAUCUUCACUGAGUUAGAAAUCAGAAAUAAUGAGAUUAUUAAAUCAAUAUCUGCUAGGUUUGCAUAUAAAGCAAUAUCACACCACUCGUACAAUUUGAUUCAAGCAUGCCAUUCCGAUAAACACAUGAAACUCUACUUCAUUAUUUGUAUCAAACCCUUUGAAUGGGUUGAAUUAUUAGAUAUAUAGUGAUAUGAGUAUGGAAAUGUUUCAUUGCAUAAUAAUGGGAUAUUAUCCUGGACUCCUAAGCUUGCCACUUUUCUAUAAAUAAAAUGAAGAGAAAGAAAAUAUAUGAAGAACUUUCUUGUUUCUAUGCAAGUUUAAAUGUUUUCACUGUUUGCUAUCCAGUUCACGUGAAUAAUAUACUAUAGGUUUUACGUUAUGUGUAUUUCAUAGUUUCUUUAUAAGUUUUAGGUUACGUGGAUAAUUUAUAGGUUUUAGAUUUUCAUGCAUUUCAUAGGUUUUAGUUUAUGUGCAUUUCAUAGAGGUUUUGAAUAUAUAAUGAGUUUCUUUAUCUGAAACUGCAUAUUAACUCUCAAUGGAAAUUCUUUUACUGGUAUAUAAUAUGAUCAUUUAUCUUUCCAGGUUAAGGAGGAUUUUAGAAUAAGAGAAGUGAUUUUAUAUCUUAAAGACGGGGAUUGUAGAAUAAGAGAAGCAAAGACAGAGGAGUAUUGUACAAGAAACACCACCCUCCAAGUCUUUUGGAUGAAAUUGGGAGACAGGUAAAGAUAGGCUAGACGGAGCUUUCUGCAGGCGUUUGAGUCGUGAAAAUAUCCGUACCGUUAAAGAUUUUCUCACACUACACAAUCUCGAUCCACCAAAGUUGCGACCUGCUGAUGCUCAAUUGUCGGUUCUUUCUACACUUAGCCAAGGCGAUUUUACCUCUUCGAAGACGAAGCUUCCUUAAUGGAAGGUUAUUCACACUUAACUAAUGCACAUUACUCUCCGAGAACUAAGGGAUCAAGUGCCAACAAGCUUUUGGCUUCUUAAAAGAUUUUUGGAUUCCAUUACACACAAGAAAGUGCGUCUUCUAUUCAUAUCGUGCCGUCCAUUUAUUCUGUUGGUGAACUAGAGACUUGGACGACUAUGGUUUACCAAAUUUCGACAGCAUCAGCCUUAUAUAUGAUAAAAAUCUGGGUUUUCCGCUCUAAGUAUCCAACUCUUUGAUCUGGGACACGGGCUCAAUUUUCAACGCAUUCACGGAUGAAUCUCAUCUACAAUCUUUCGAGUCCAAUCUACAAUCUCAGUGUCAAAUUGAAGCAGAGUUACAGAGUGUCGUUGAUAGCUUCAUGCUGAGCUUCAGAGUAUAGAUCUACAAACAGGAUUGUUCACUUUAAAAUAAAAAACAGCUCCCAAAAACUUUGACGCAGAAAAUAAUAUCAGCGAAGGUGGCUUUGGUUCUGUUUACAAGGUAUUUUGAUGCAUACUGAUGAAAGUGUGAUGGAGAUGCAUGCACUACUUGUAGUUCCCCAAACCAUACAAAUUCUCGAAGUCCAUGCACCGAUGAAGAAGGCAGAGAGGAAGACUAGAAAUUGAUUUUAUCUUAGAUAAGUUUUUUUUUUGACGUAGCAUAUAUUUUGGUGAUUAUUUGUUAUAUAACAUUACUGUUAUUUUAAUGUUUGUAAGACUUUUUGACAAUAUAAUUGAAAAUUUCUUUGCUAUUGUUUUAAAUUUUGUGGUACAUAUAGAAAGUAUUGUCAAAAUUUGAAUAUUAAAAAAUAUUGAUUAUUAGAAAGGAAAAAUAUUUGUAA